GUCAACAGCCUUAUAAUUCUUUUGCACGUUGUCCAUGGCUACAGAGAAUAGCCCCAUCUCCACGCUUUGCAUUAACAUUCAAGGCAGGAGGAUGUGGCAAGAAAAAGAAGCUGCACCAGGUCUCUCUCUCUCUGGCAUAUCAGUAUGCUCCCAAAUUUUAACUUUGGUUUAUUGGUAUUUAUUUCCUCUGAAUAUCUGCCAAAUGUGAUAUGAACCACUGUCAUCAUGUCCACAAAAUUUAAAAGAUAAUGUACAAGAGGCAUUUCAUGGCUAUGAAGAUUAUCUUUGCUCUAGUCCUCUGAAACCUGAUCCUUAGGCUCAUGGAAAGACAACAUUUAAAAAAAAAUUAUCUACCAGCUACUACUAGAGAAGUAUGAUUGGCUCACAAUCAGUUACAUCUUGUCUGGAAAUCAUUUGCAAUUGGGAAAUGAAAGAAAUACAGAGAAAUUUCUUAUAAACCACAUGUAAAGGAACCAUGAAUAACCAUGUGCAAGACUAUGAACACAAGCUGAACAGAUUUAAAAAUACAAUUUUCCCUACACCAUGAAGUGUUUCUCUACUUCAGCAAUUCUUCAUGUGAGAGAAAGAGCCACCAAAGAUACUUCAACAUAAAAGAACCACAAUAUUUUUUUUUUUGGUUAUAAAUGGGAAACAGAGGAAAUAAGAAGACAGUAUAGGAAAUAAUUUAUGGAGAAAAAGAAAGCAAAGGAAAAAUUUUUUACUCGGAAAAUUUUGCAGCCUGAUACCUGCCUUGCUCAUGGAGAAGAUAAGUAGUGACAGAUGUGGCUUUGUUAUAGAAAGAACUUAAUGUCAAGCAGCUGAGCAACUAUACUUCUUAAAGAAAAUUAAUCCUGAGCUGUCUUAAUUGGACUCCUCUCCUCUCCUCUUUCCUCCUUAAAUUUCCAUCUGGAGUUUUCAGUAAAUGAUAGCAGUCUUGAUGGGAUCUAGUGGUCUCAGUGAUUUUACAAUCCCAGUUUUCCUGCUGGUAGUGUUCACAAACACUUUUUGUAAGUACCAGUGUCUGGGGUGGGGUGAUUUAUCUCAAAAUAUGGCCAUUUAUUUCAUUAAAAGCUGACUAGGAAUGAUAUAUUAUCAUUUACAUAUGCAUUCUCCUUUUGUCACUAUAUCUUUUCUGUCAUACUUUUCUCAGGGAGUAAUGAGUUAUAUAAUAAUAUUAGUAGGGAUAAUUUAUAAAAAGUAAAAAUACCAUUUUUAUGUAUUAUAUAUUUACCUAUGAAAUUUUGAAAUUCCUAUAUUAUGAAAGCACUGUUAUUUCAGGGGCCACUCCAGGCUAGUGAGUUACCACAGGAAAAAUUGUGUUCCCAUUGAUGCCUCCUGGUUCUGGAAGGACCCAUCUUCCACAUUUUAGUGAAAUGGUUCCUCAUCUCUAUGUGGUGUUGUCUGGUUCUCCAUGUUUAAUACUUUACUAGUGUGGCUUCCCAUUUUCCUACCUAUUAACUCUUUACAAGAUGGUAAAAACUCCUCUUGGCAUUCUAGAUCAGUGUGUCCAAGAGAAGUAUUAUUGAUGCCACAUUCGUAAUUCUAAACUUUCUAGUAACCACAUUAACAAAAGUUAAAACAGUGAAAUAAAUUUUAAUAUUGUAUUUUAUUUAACCUAAUGUAUAAAUAUUAUUUCAACUCAUAAUCAAUGUAGAGAUCAUUCUUUUCAUCAUACAAAAGCUCCCAAAUCUGUUUAUAUUUAACAGUUAUAGCCCAUCCUAAUUUGAACUAGCCACCACAUUUCAAGUGUACAAUUGCCACAUGUGCCCAAUGGCUAUCAUAUUUGAGAACAUAGUUUUAGAUUCUAGCAGCAGAUUUGAUUAUUUCUCUCCUUUAUAUGGCCAUGGGCCUAGAUCAAGCAAUUGAGUAAUCAAGAAUGCACAGAGAGACUUAGAAAUGAGAUGACCAGACCAUGUCCUCACUUUAAAAAAAAUCAAAUAAUGACCCUUUAUUUUAAAGUUCAUUCUGUCUUGGAUCGAAUUUACAUCAGUCUCUAGGACUCAGUUCAUAAACAGAGUAUAUGAAACUUCAUUCUCAGUCUUGUUUCAUUCCACAUCUAGGUAUGUGCUUUCCUUCUUCUUAGAACUCUUAAAUGAAAAAAAAAAAAAAAAAGAACUCUUAAA